CUAUGGCAACCCCACACUGAAAACACCAGAUCUGGUCCAGUCUCGGAAGCUAAGCAGGAUCAGGCCUGGUUAGACUUUGAAUGAGGCUGGCCUCCCCAUAGU
rnacentral:rRNA from 1 species